rnacentral:misc_RNA from 1 species
UUGCUGGCUUCUUCUCAGAUAGUCAGCUCCCCUUAAAUGCAUUAGCUGGUGCCCCGCGUGGACUGUCUAUUGGUGUGAUAAUUAUCUACGCUAUGGACAUCUGCAAUCAUAUGGGUUUGCGCUGCUUCUAACAGUCUGUUGAUUCAGACAAUACAUGACAAUUUGACCUCAAAUCAGGUAGGACUACCCGCUGAACUUAA